rnacentral:rRNA from 1 species
CAGUGGGGAAUUUUGGACAAUGGGGGCAACCCUGAUCCAGCAAUGCCGCGUGUGUGAAGAAGGCCUUCGGGUUGUAAAGCACUUUUGUCCGGAAAGAAAACGCCGUGGUUAAUACCCGUGGCGGAUGACGGUACCGGAAGAAUAAGCACCGGCUAACUACGUGCCAGCAGCCGCGGUAAUACGUAGGGUGCAAGCGUUAAUCGGAAUUACUGGGCGUAAAGCGUGCGCAGGCGGUCCGCUAAGACAGAUGUGAAAUCCCCGGGCUUAACCUGGGAACUGCAUUUGUGACUGGCGGGCUAGAGUAUGGCAGAGGGGGGUAGAAUUCCACGUGUAGCAGUGAAAUGCGUAGAGAUGUGGAGGAAUACCGAUGGCGAAGGCAGCCCCCUGGGCCAAUACUGACGCUCAUGCACGAAAGCGUGGGGAGCAAACAGGAUUAGAUACCCUGGUAGUCCACGCCCUAAACG